rnacentral:rRNA from 1 species
AGAGAGAGACAUGCGCGCAUAUCAAUAAGCGGAGGAAAAGAAACUAACAAGGAUUCCCCUAGUAACGGCGAGUGAAGCGGGAAGAGCUCAAAUUUGAAAUCUUAAAGGGUUUCCCUUUACGAAUUGUAGUUUAAAGAAGUGUUUUCUGUUGAGGUUUUGGUAAAAGUUCUUUGGAAUAGGACAUCAUAGAGGGUGAGAAUCCCGUAUUUGACCUUUACUUUACAACUUUGUGAUACACUUUCAAAGAGUCGGAUUGUUUGGGAAUGCAGUCCAAAAUGGGUGGUAAAUUUCAUCUAAAGCUAAAUAUUGGCGAGAGACCGAUAGCGAACAAGUACCGUGAGGGAAAGAUGAAAAGAACUUUGAAAAGAGAGUUAAACAGUACGUGAAAUUGUCAAAAGGGAAGCGUUUGACACCAGUGUUGUUUUUCUGAAAAUCAAUUAAAGAACUGUUUAUGCUAAGCUGUUUAGACUUUAUCAGCUAUCUGUUUAGUUUUGAGCUUUUCUUUAAUGCACUUUUCAGUUAACAAGUCAACAUCAAUUUCUUUUGCUGUAAAAAAGCUUGAGGAAGGUGGCUUGAGAUUCGUCUUAAGUGUUUAUAGCCUCUUGCCUAUGCAGUCGGAGAGAUUGAGGUCUGCAGCGUAGAUCCUUCGGGGCUAAAUGCAUUUGUGCUAAGUUAUAGCAUUUUAUAGACAACUUGUUGACUAUGAUUUGUCUUGUAGCUUACUCGCUUAUGUUAUUUUACCUACGCUUAGGAUGUUGACGCAUGAGAUAUACGC